CGAAGCCUGACGGAGCAAUACCGCGUGAGGGAAGAAGGCUUUUGGGUUGUAAACCUCUUUUGUCAGGGAAGAAGAAUUGACGGUACCUGAAGAAAAAGCAUCGGCUAACUCCGUGCCAGCAGCCGCGGUAAUACGGAGGAUGCAAGCGUUAUCCGGAAUCAUUGGGCGUAAAGGGUCCGCAGGUGGCGAAUAAAGUCUGCUGUUAAAGACCGGGGCCAAACUCCGGAAAGGCAGUGGAAACUGAUUAGCUAGAGUACGGUAGGGGUAGAGGGAAUUCCCAGUGUAGCGGCGAAAUGCGUAAAUAUUGGGAAGAACACCGGUGGCGAAAGCGCUCUACUAGGCCGAAACUGACACUGAGGGACGAAAGCUAGGGUAGCGAAAGGGAUUAGAUACCCCUGUAGUCUUAGCUGUAAACGAGGGAUACUAGGCGUAGCUUGUAUCGACCCGAGCGGUGCCGAAGCUAACGCGAUAAGUAUCCCGCCUGGGGAGUACGCACGCAAGUGUGAAACUCAAAGGAAUUGACGGGGGCCCGCACAAGCGGUGGAGUAUGUGGUUUAAUUCGAUGCAACGCGAAGAACCUUACCAGGGCUUGACAUGUCGCGAAUCUGGCGGAAACGUUAGAGUGCCUUAGGGAACGCGAACAAAGGUGGUGCAUGGCUGUCGUCAGCUCGUGUCGUGAGAUGUUGGGUUAAGUCCCGCAACGAGCGCAACCCUCGUCCUUAGUUGCCAAUAUUAAGUUAGGCACUCUAGGGAGACUGCCGGGGACAACUCGGAGGAAGGUGGGGAUGACGUCAAGUCAGCAUGCCCCUUACGUCCUGGGCGACACACGUACUACAAUGGUUGGGACAAAGGGCAGCAAGCUCGCGAGAGUAAGCGAAUCUCAUCAAACCCAGCCACAGUCCAGAUUGCAGGCUGCAACUCGCCUGCAUGAAGUAGGAAUCGCUAGUAAUCGCAGGUCAGCAUACUGCGGUGAAUUCGUUCCCGGGCCUUGUACACACCGCCCGUCACACCAUGGAAGCUGGCUACGCCCGAAGUCGUUACCCUAACCCGGUUUUGGGAGGGGGAUGCCGAAGGUAGAGCUAGUGACUGGGGUGAAGUCGUAACAAGGUAGCCGUACCGGAAGGUGUGGCUGGAUCACCUCCUUU
rnacentral:rRNA from 1 species